UUACCGAGUGCGGGUUCGAACGAGCCCAACCUCCCACCCGUGUUUACUGUUACCGCGUUGCCUCGGCGGGCCCACUGGGGCCUGGCCCCGGUCGCCGGGGGGCUUCUGCCCCCGGGCCCGCUCCCGCCGAAGCACCCUAGAACCCUGCCUGAACAGUGAGUCUGAGUGAGAUUUUAAAUCAUUAAAACUUUCAACAACGGAUCUCUUGGUUCCGGCAUCGAUGAAGAACGCAGCGAAAUGCGAUAAGUAAUGUGAAUUGCAGAAUUCCGUGAAUCAUCGAAUCUUUGAACGCACAUUGCGCCCCCUGGCAUUCCGGGGGGCAUGCCUGUCCGAGCGUCAUUUCUGCCCUCCAGCACGGCUGGGUGUUGGGCGCUGUCCCCCCGGGGACACGCCCCAAAAGCAGUGGCGGCGCCGCGUCGGGUCCUCGAGCGUAUGGGGCUCUGUCACCCGCUCGGGAGGGACUCGGUCGGCGCUGGUCUUCCCUUUAGGCCGCCCUUCGGGGUGCGCCUCUUCCGGUUGACCUCGGAUCAGGUAGGGCUACCCGCUGAACUUAAGCAUAUCAAUAAGCGGAGGAAAAGAAACCAACAGGGAUUGCCUCAGUAACGGCGAGUGAAGCGGCAAGAGCUCAAAUUUGAAAUCUGGCUCCUUCGGGGCCCGAGUUGUAAUUUGGAGAGGAUGCUUCGGGCGUGGCCCCUAUCUAAGUGCCCUGGAACGGGCCGUCAUAGA
rnacentral:rRNA from 1 species